GUGCUCGCUUCGUCAGCACAUACACCAAAAUUGAAACAAUACAGAGAUUAGUAUGGCCACUGCGUGAGGAUGACAAUCAGAUUAUCUUAAAUACACAGAAAACAG
ensembl:snRNA U6 U6 spliceosomal RNA